AUCCAGCUGACGAGUCCCGAAUGGGAUGAAACGCGCGUCCUGGAU
rfam:Schistosoma haematobium scaffold905_21, whole genome shotgun sequence.